rnacentral:lncRNA from 10 species
AGAUGAAAUGAAGACAUUCUCAGAUGAAGAAAAACUAGGAGAAUUAAUUGACAACGGACCUGCUCUAAAAGAAAGUGGCUAAAAGAAGUUCUUCAGACUGAAGGGAAAUGAUACUAGAAGGGAACUUGGAGCUUCAGGAAUGAAGAAAAAACAACAACAAAAAAAAGGAUAAACUAAGCUCUACAAACUCAGAAGACAUUGCUAUGAUAUGCCAGCCCUUAAUCAUGGUCUAGUACAACAAAUGAAAUUGCAGUUCCUUUCCCCUGUCUGGUGGUUAGGUUGAAGCU